rnacentral:rRNA from 1 species
UACAGAGGUCCCGAGCUUUGUUCGGAUUCACUGGGCGUAAAGGGUGCGUAGGUGGCAAGGUAAGUUUGAUGUGAAAUCUCCGAGCUUAACUCGGAAAAUGCAUUGAAUACUAUCUGGCUAGAGGUUUGGAGGGGGGACUGGAAUUCUUGGUGUAGCAGUGAAAUGCGUAGAUAUCAAGAGGAACACCAGUGGCGAAGGCGAGUCCCUGGACAACACCUGACACUGAGGCACGAAAGCUAGGGGAGCAAACAGG